AGGAAGACGACGAGCAUCGCGUCUUUGUUAAAUGGCGGCAGCUCACUCGCAGCAAGAUGCUGCUUUCGAAGCACUUACACAAAAAUUGUGUCAAAGAUCUCGAUGAUCCCCCUCGAGUGCCGCCAUGAACAAGCAAAGCACGUGAUGAGCUUUCGGUGGCAACUUUACAUGGUGCUGCCAGACCGUGGAGAGGACACGAGUUUAAAGCUCGAGUCGCGUUGCUGUCGUUGGGUUUGGCGGUCACUUUGGCCGCAGGAAUCGGCCGCGGUUCAAGUACCCCAGUUCUGCGGAGAAUUUGCAUCCCUCCCUGGAAUACGCUGCAGCGCUGGCACUCGGACAGUGUCAGAGCACUACAAGAAUACCGAUCUACCAAGAAGGAGCCACUUUCAGACCAGUUCCCAUCCGUCCUGGAGCCGAAACUGGAGUGUCUCCCACGUGCCGCCACCACCUUCAACAAGCUGCGAAAUGGUCUACCAGCGCGUCUCAAGGAGUACCAAGUGGUAUUCAGCAAACUUCAUGCCCUGGUUAACGAGGUCAGAAAAAGUGAGAAAAACACCACGCUCCAAAAGAACCUGCACAUCUACGCGGUCCAAACGGCGGCCGUAAUGCGCAAGUCACUGGGUGACUGUUCCGGCAUGAACACCUCGUUGGCACGCUGCAUCUCCACUCGGAAGGACAUGAGCUAUCACAAGCCACGUCCGCGGCUUCGUCAUCCUGAACGAGUUACGCCUUUGGCUGGACCGUGUGACCACGGAGCUCGAGGGGUUUGGGCAGUUUGAAGGAUCUGGAGAGUGCCGUUGCUCACAGAUGAAACGAAGGAGCCUCCGUAACGGAGGCCACAAGGCUAGAGGAAGAUCAAUGAGAAGGAAUAACCGUGGAGGACCAAAGCGCAAGAAUGCCCGCCGGUGGUGACUCCCUCUGUUCGCUGUACUAAAUGAACGUCCCGGAUAUUCCACUUUAGGUCGUUGUGGACACUUCGUUUUAUAAAUGUGGUUUUGUUUUCAUUUCAUUGUCCCACGCUGCCAAGAACAAAACAGCAAGUCGUGAGUGAUGCACGUAACCCGGGAAGGAUGUUGCGUACACCAUGACGUCAUUGCACGAUGAACACACGUGAGAGCGCGCGGACACCACUGCACCCGCAAGUCUCUCCUUCCAUCGUCUUGCUUGGAGAGCGCAGCCACCGCUGAAGUUAUUUAUUUUGGACGCGAUAUUUUAUUGUUAUUUAUUGUCCUAUUUAAAGUCGGCCCGCGUAUUUUUAUAUGUUGAAGUCAAAGACUGGGGGUGGGGGAAAUGGGGAG
rnacentral:lncRNA from 1 species